CUCCUAUCGUCCAAUAGUUUUUUUGGAAAGGCUUCAUUUAAACAGAGAGUCGUUUUAUCCUGGGAACUCACUCCAUCGUGAAUACUCGGAAGCUAGACGUGUGGCAGGGAAAAUGAGUUAAGGGAAACCGUGAUUAGUAUGACAUCGCCAACCGGCAGCAUUCACAAAGAUCUUAAACUCCUUUCCCCUGCCACUCUUUUAGCUUCCGAAUCUUUUUCGAUGGGUGAGUUCCUUGGAGAAAAAAUCUUUCUCUACGGAUGAAGCGUUUACGAAGAAACAAUUGGGAUGGAG
rnacentral:pre_miRNA from 1 species